GCUGGCGGCAUGCCUUACACAUGCAAGUCGAACGGCAGCACGGGAGCAAUCCUGGUGGCGAGUGGCGAACGGGUGAGUAAUAUAUCGGAACGUGCCCAGUCGUGGGGGAUAACGUAGAGAAAUUUACGCUAAUACCGCAUACGAUCUAAGGAUGAAAGCGGGGGAUUCGCAAGGACCUCGCGCGAUUGGAGCGGCUGAUAUCAGAUUAGCUUGUUGGUGAGGUAAAAGCUCACCAAGGCGACGAUCUGUAGCUGGUUUGAGAGAACGACCAGCCACACUGGGACUGAGACACGGCCCAGACUCCUACGGGAGGCAGCAGUGGGGAAUUUUGGACAAUGGGCGAAAGCCUGAUCCAGCAAUGCCGCGUGCAGGAAGAAGGCCUUCGGGUUGUAAACUGCUUUUGUACGGAACGAAAAGGUCUGCCCUAAUACGGCGGGCCCAUGACGGUACCGUAAGAAUAAGCACCGGCUAACUACGUGCCAGCAGCCGCGGUAAUACGUAGGGUGCGAGCGUUAAUCGGAAUUACUGGGCGUAAAGCGUGCGCAGGCGGUGAUGCAAGACAGUUGUGAAAUCCCCGGGCUCAACCUGGGAAUUGCAUCUGUGACUGCAUCGCUAGAGUACGGUAGAGGGGGAUGGAAUUCCGCGUGUAGCAGUGAAAUGCGUA
rnacentral:rRNA from 1 species